rnacentral:rRNA from 1 species
UGGGGAAUUUUGGACAAUGGGGGAAACCCUGAUCCAGCCAUCCCGCGUGUGCGAUGAAGGCCUUCGGGUUGUAAAGCACUUUUGGCAGGAAAGAAACGUCGCGAGUUAAUACCCCGCGAAACUGACGGUACCUGCAGAAUAAGCACCGGCUAACUACGUGCCUGCAGCCGCGGUAAUACGUAGGGUGCAAGCGUUAAUCGGAAUUACUGGGCGUAAAGCGUGCGCAGGCGGUUCGGAAAGAAAGAUGUGAAAUCCCAGAGCUUAACUUUGGAACUGCAUUUUUAACUACCGGGCUAGAGUGUGUCAGAGGGAGGUGGAAUUCCGCGUGUAGCAGUGAAAUGCGUAGAUAUGCGGAGGAACACCGAUGGCGAAGGCAGCCUCCUGGGAUAACACUGACGCUCAUGCACGAAAGCGUGGGGAGCAAACAGGAUUAGAUACCCUGGUAGUCCACGCCCUAAACGAUGUCAACUAGCUGUUGGGGCCUUCGGGCCUUGGUAGCGCAGCUAACGCGUGAAGUUGACCGCCUGGGGAGUACGGUCGCAAGAUUAAAACUCAAAGGAAUUGACGGGGUCAUAGCUGUUUCCUG